GCCGGGCAUGGUGGCUCAUGCCUGUAAUCCAAGCACUUUGGAGGCCAAGGUGGGUGGAUCACCUGAGGUCAGGAGUUCAAGACCAUCCUGACCAACAUGGUAAAACCCCGUCUUAU
ensembl:misc_RNA Metazoa_SRP Metazoan signal recognition particle RNA